rnacentral:misc_RNA from 1 species
AUGUACAGGCGCUCGAGGAAGAACAUUAGCGACAUGGCGGCGCAGAUGUACACGGCCAGCUGCAGCGCCGGAACCACCACGGACCACCGCACCGCCUAGCUCCAAGUUGAUCUGUCAGAUGAGCUCUUCACUGAGUCAGGCGCACUGUUCACCGGUUUUCAGAAAAAUCGCGCCGAGGAUAAGGAUCCAGACCUCGCCGACGAUAAGGAUGCCACGGCGGUCGGGAUGGGCUGGUGGCCGCGGUGA